ensembl:snRNA U6 U6 spliceosomal RNA
GUGCUUUAGCAGCGCAUAUACUAAAAAAUUAGAAUGAGACACAGAAGAUUAGUAUGGCUCCUGUACAAGGGCGACACGCAAAUUUGUGAAACACUUCAUAUUUUU